rnacentral:rRNA from 1 species
CCCUUAGAUGUUCUGGGCCGCACGCGCGCUACACUGAUGCAUUCAACGAGUCUAAAACCUGGUCUGAUAGGGCUGGGUAAUCUUUUGAAAGUGCAUCGUGAUUGGGAUAGAUGAUUGCAAUUCUUCAUCUUCAACGAGGAAUGCCUAGUAAACGCAAGUCAUCAGCUUGCAUUGAUUACGUCCCUGCCCUUUGUACACACCGCCCGUCGCUUCUACCGAUUGAAUGAUCCGAUGAAUACCAUGGAUUGAGAGUACGAAUGGGUUCGCUCAUUUCUGCUGCUCGAGAAGUGGAGUAAAUCUUAUCAUUUAGAGGAAGGAGAAGUCGUAACA